AAUCUUGUAGUUGAGAUUUAUUU
rnacentral:snRNA from 1 species